ACGAACGCUGGCGGCGUGCCUAAUACAUGCAAGUAGAACGCUGAAGAGAGGAGCUUGCUCUUCUUGGAUGAGUUGCGAACGGGUGAGUAACGCGUAGGUAACCUGCCUUGUAGCGGGGGAUAACUAUUGGAAACGAUAGCUAAUACCGCAUAACAAUGGAUGACACAUGUCAUUUAUUUGAAAGGGGCAAUUGCUCCACUACAAGAUGGACCUGCGUUGUAUUAGCUAGUAGGUGAGGUAAUGGCUCACCUAGGCGACGAUACAUAGCCGACCUGAGAGGGUGAUCGGCCACACUGGGACUGAGACACGGCCCAGACUCCUACGGGAGGCAGCAGUAGGGAAUCUUCGGCAAUGGGGGCAACCCUGACCGAGCAACGCCGCGUGAGGGAAGAAGGUUUUCGGAUCGUAAAGCUCUGUUGUAAGUCAAGAACGGGUGUGAGAGUGGAAAGUUCACACUGUGACGGUAGCUUACCAGAAAGGGACGGCUAACUACGUG
rnacentral:rRNA from 1 species